GUUAACACUUCCACCCAGCUCCACGUGGGCAAACAUCCAAAUAAGACGAAACUGAUUGCCAGGCUACUGCACUCUAUUUCCACAUCUGUUUAGGCUCCUCUCGGGUCUUGCUCCAGUCCUGAUUUCUGCAUUCUGACUCCUGGCUGAGCCGUCUCCCGCAGCUUUAUUUAUUUCUGGCCUUACUGAGUGAGUGUCGAUGCUUUGCUUAAGAACUAAGCUAUCUUCUCCGACGCAUGGCUUCCUGUAGCCGGCUGACUUCGUUCCUCCACGCGUGGUGGAGCAUCAGCUCUCCGGGAUUCAAGUCGGCUCUGUCCUGUGUGGUCUCUACAACUAAAGCAAGUUUAGGAAGAAGAAGGUGGUGGAAAACUAUGUGUGUUUCCAUAGGAGCUUAACUAUCCACAGGGCCAUACGGAUUGCACAAAUCUGGAUAUUAACUUCUGGGUGGAGCAUUAAAACACCUGAAACGUAAGUAGGCAUUGACUUUUCAAAUAUGUGCUUCGUCUUCUUCAACUGUCCAAGUGAAGCGUGGGGGUUACACUUCUAGUCAGCCGGCAAGUGCCUUUUAUGAAAAGACCUUGAUCCCAACAGAACGAAAUAGGUAUCAUUUCAUUUCCACUCAAUUCACUUGUGUUUUUUUUUUCCCAUAAAGGAAGAACUCUCUCCCAACCCCACUGCCUUUAAAAGUGAAUAAAACAUCUGUAUGCCUAAAAUUAGUUGGCUCUUCUGUCUGAGGUUGACCUUAAUGCCAGCUGAAUAAAAAAGUUAUUGUGAAGGUUAUACGCAGUUUAGCUAGGCUUCCUGAAAGCUUCUAUUAAUUUCCGAAGUGAACGUCUCUCAAACGAUGUCUCCCUCAUCUUUAUUCUCACUCUCAUGCCUAAGGCCCUUCCCUCUUUGUCUUCAAUCGUGGCAACAUUCUCCCAAACUGCUGCCGGAUGAUCCUUACAAAAACAAAGCUUUGGCGAUGUCACUCCCAGCUACACACAUUUUUAUUCGUUCCCAACUGGCAAUGGAAUGAAAUCCAAAUACUUAAGCACGACAUUCAAAGGCCUUCAUUACCAGAACACUCCCCUUCUUUGAGCCAAACCAAAAUACUCCCAGCCUCCUAGUAUGCCAAGGACUAUCGUUAUUUAUCUUCGUGUCUGACAUUAAGUAGUAGCAAACGACAUAGGAACGACAGAUAGGCAAGAUGCUUCUCUAUUAGGGUGUGUGUCAUGCCAGGGCUUGGGAUGGGAGAAACUCUGUGGCAAUCACUAUUCUACCACCUCCCAAACAGCAGGAGCCAUCAGUCUCACGCCCAGCCUUUAAUUUCCAUUUAAACUUCCCUGGCUUCCCUUAAACAAUCAACAGGUGCCUUUAAAAAACUUGGCCAUACUUCAACAUCUUCCAAGCAGAGACUGUUCAUCCAAAGGGUAGCAAAAUACUCUACUCGUGUCGGACAUCUUGGGUAUAAUCUGGGGUGUGGUAUAGAGUUUACAUUUGAUAGCUAGUGGAAAAUACUGAGCAAUGCUCCCAAAUAACUCCCCCCAGCUCCCCUCCCUCCCCCGCCCACUGACACACACAUACACAUAUGCUUUUCAAAAAAAAAUCUCUCUUCCCUAAGAAGACAGCCCUUGAAAAAUAAAGUUUUGCUGGGUCACCGAUCUGUGGUUUUCACCGGAGUUUCUCUGUCGUGUCCAUUGAUCUGUUCCACUCAUUUCUGUCAUUCAUUCAGAAGCAAAAUACAUGUUCCCUCAAGGUUUUCAAAGGAGACACAUUCAGCUCUUCAGUUCUUUUUUACCAGGUUUUUAGGGGACCCUACACGGGCAAUCCACAUAGACAAAGAUCAACAACACCAUAUCCUUCUCUCUGUUCAAAGGAGUUUAGAGACUAAAUUCUCUUAAGA